rnacentral:rRNA from 1 species
GUAGUCGCAAAUAGACGUUGAUCCGGGGAUAUCCGAAUGGGGGAACCCGCUUGAGAAAACCUCAAGCAUCAUGCACUGAAUCCAUAGGUGUAUGAAGGCAUACCAGGGGAACUGAAACAUCUAAGUACCCUGAGGAAAAGAAAGAAACAUCGAUUCCCUAAGUAGCGGCGAGCGAAAGGGGAAGAGCCCAAACCGAAGGCUUUAGACUUCGGGGUUGAGGACACAACGCAAAUUAAGAGGAGUAAGGUAGUCGAAGGGUCUGGAAAGUCCCACCACAGAAGGUGAAAGUCCUGUAGACGAAACCUGAAAAACUUAAGUUGUGAUCCAGAGUACCAUGGGACACGUGAAAUCCUGUGGGAAGCAGGGAGGCCCACCUCCCAAGGCUAAAUACUCCCUGGUGACCGAUAGCGGAGAAGUACCGUGAGGGAAAGGUGAAAAGAACCCCGGGAGGGGAGUGAAAUAGAACCUGAAACCCUAUGCCUACAAGCAGUGGGAGCUCUAUAUAGGAGUGACCGCGUACUUUUUGUAGAACGUGCCAGCGAGUUAUGGUAUCAAGCGAGGUUAAGUACUUAAGGUACGAAGCCGUAGGGAAACCGAGUCUUAAUAGGGCGGAUAGUUUGAUACCAUAGACCCGAAACCGGGUGAUCUACCCAUGGGCAGAGUGAAGUUGAAGUAAAAUUCAAUGGAGGCUCGAACCGUUUAGCGUUUAAAAGCUAUCGGAUGACCUGUGGGUAGGGGUGAAAAGCCAAUCGAACUCGGAGAUAGCUGGUUCUCCUCGAAAUAGCUUUAGGGCUAGCCUCGAGAGAAGUGAUAUGGAGGUAGAGCACUGACUGGUCUAGGGGCGCGUAGCGUUACCAAAACCUAUCAAACUCCGAAUGCCAUAAUCAUGAUACUCGGGAGUCAGACUAUGUGGGAUAAGCUUCAUAGUCGAGAGGGAAAGAGCCCAGACCACCAGCUAAGGUCCCUAAAUCCAAAUUAAGUGGCAAAGGAGGUAAGGUUACACAGACAACCAGGAUGUUGGCUUAGAAGCAGCCAUACAUUUAAAGAGUGCGUAAUAGCUCACUGGUCGAGUGACCUUGCGCCGAA